GUGAAACAACGCCUCCCGUAGCAUCACUGAAGAUAAGCAAAGUCGAGCCUGGUCUGUACUUAAAUGGGUGACCGCUUGGGAUUACCUGGUGCUGUAA